UUUAUUGGGGUUUGGCCUGGCUUCCUGCCCUCCUCUCAGCCUCCCGCAGCCCGGCUUUAUGGCCGUGGUCUCCCUCGGAAGCUGGGAAGAACAGAGAGCAGGAGUGGCCCUGCCGGCGACACCCGGUCCCGCUGAGUCUCCUGAUUUCGGAGUGCCCUGUGGGAAGAUACGCUUAUAAAAGUGCUUUGUGCUCUUCAGAGAGAGGUGUCCCCACGCUCAUGCCCAGCCCAGGCCCUCCCGGGCCAGCCUUCCAGUCCGCUUGGGCUUGCUGGGACAUGUCCCCAGAACGACCUCGCAGACUGGGUGCUGCGUGAGAGCCUCGCCAGCUGCCCUGGGUGCAAGGCCACUGCAGCUGUGCAGGGGAGGGCCCUGCCGUCCAGCCUGAGCCUCCGUGGGCUUGGGAUGGUAACUCCCUUGGCCUUGGCCUUCCUCAGCAAAUAGCCCAGGCUGCAGUCCCCAUGUGCCCUAGGCCUGGCCCUCUCGCUCCGUGCCUCAGUCUCCCUCCCUGAAACUCACAUCAAGACUCUCAGCAACCACCUGGAUUGUGGUUCCAUCAGGGGACCCCAGGGUCCAGGGAUGGAUUCUUUUCCCGGGACUGUCAUCUUCACAAGGCAUGUCUGCGAGGCCCACCCACCCUGUCACAGGCAGCCAGAGGCCGUUCGUCCCCAUGGCCGGGACGCGCUGCUGUGGGGUGCAGACCUAGGGCGAGGACUGCGGGGCCCAGGAAAAUAAAAAAAUGAAGAAAGAAGAAAUUACCAAAAGCUACUAUUUAGAGUCAACCAUCCAACCAAGCAGUCAACAGAUGUUUCCUAAGAGCCUCUUCUGUGUCAGGCCCUGGCGGGGAGAGAGCCGUCUCCCCCCCGUGGAGUCUGGGGUCUGGGGCCGAGUGGGCAGCGGCGUCCCUGAGGGAUGGGCCGGGGGCCUCGGCCAGCUCUGUGGUCUCCGUCCGCUGCCCCCGGGAACAUCCGCACUGAGACCAGCGGGCUUGCCGUGGGACGGAGACCCAAGACAGAGGCCCAGGCCUCCGCCCAGCCCGGCUGCACCCCUAGAACUUGAAGUGGGGAGUCCAGAGGACAGCAAUGACACCAUUAAUCGCAGUCAAGCCCGUGAGAGGAGGAGCGGGUGCCAGGCCGGAGCCCACGGGCACUCGCAGCAGCGGGAACAGGGCGCUGGGGCGUGAGCCGGAGGCAGCCUCAUCUGCACUUCGCCCUUUCUCCUGGGGGUCACCGAAGGGAUUUAAGCCUGGGAGUGGGCAGUUCAGACGUGCUUUUAGCAGGAUCAUUCCGGAUCCCUGCGGAAACUGGCUCGCGGUGACCAGAGCGAAGUCCAGACCCCUCUGGAGGCCCUGAGCUGACGGCAGGAGGGCAGUGGACCAGGGAGAAGAGGAAGGACCAAGAUGUUUAAGCGGCAUCCUGGAAGGACCUGGGGCGAGGCUGACU